GUUUGGUGUUUCACUUCAGGAUGUACCACCCAUUUAUCAAAAGAUAUGAUUGGUACGUCUUUGAGUGAGGUACUGCAC
rnacentral:miRNA from 1 species